rnacentral:Y_RNA from 1 species
UGCCGGCCUGAGUGCAGCGGUGUUUACAACUAACUGGCAGUUACGGAUCUCUUUGUUCCUUCUCCACGCCAACUGCUUCACUUGACCAGCCUUAA